UACGAAGGGGGCUAGCGUUGCUCGGAAUCACUGGGCGUAAAGCGCACGUAGGCGGAUUGUUAAGUCAGGGGUGAAAUCCUGGAGCUCAACUCCAGAACUGCCUUCGAUACUGGGAAGCUCGAGUCCGGGAGAGGUGAGUGGAACUGCGAGUGUAGAGGUGAAAUUCGUAGAUAUUCGCAAGAACACCGUGGCGAAGGCGGCCAUC
rnacentral:rRNA from 1 species